rnacentral:lncRNA from 1 species
ACCUAGAACUUAAAAGUAUUCCCGCAUUAUACUGAUGGGCGACCUAGAACUUAAAUGUAUUCCCGCAUUAUACUGGUGGGCGACCUAGAACUUAAAUGUAUUCCCACAUUAUACUGGUAGGCGACCUAGAACUUAAAAGUAUUCCCGCAUUAUACUGGUGGGCGACCUAGAACUUAAAAGUAUUCCCGCAUUAUACUGGUGGGCGACCUAGAACUUAAAGUAUUCCAAUUGCUUCCCCGUUCUUCCGAGAAAAUUUUCGACAAACGGCAGAAAAUUUUCUGCCCCGGUUUUUUUCGGUGGUUUCCCUGGCGUUG